rnacentral:lncRNA from 1 species
UAUCUUUAUCCUCUCAUGCGGAGAAAAUGCUGCAAAGAUGCGGUCUUGCAUCGUUUUAAAAAGGAGAUAAGAUAGGGCGUGCGCAUAUCACAUCUAUGAGAGUAGGGUGGCAUGAGAAAGCUUUUCUGCAUGAGAAAAGAAAAGAAAAGAAGAGAAAAGAAGAGAAAAGUGGGUGCAGGUUUUUCUUGUGUACCCUAGGAUUUCUACCUAGGGUUCGAAAAGUGAGAAAGUGAGCUACGAGUGUCGUGAGCCCACCAGAUUUCAGAAAGAGCUUCAUCAACCUCUCAAGUAUAUUUGUUGAUGAUUCAAAGCAUCUGAAGAGUUGACAGAUC